CAGGCGUGGUGGCCCAUGGCUGUAGUCCCGGCUACUCGGGGGUCUGAAGCGGGAGAAUCGCUUGAGCCGGGAGGCUGAGGCUGCAGUGAGCCAUGAUCAUGCCACUGCACUCCAGCCUGGGUGGCAGAGUGAGACUCUGUCUCAAAAUAAACAAACAAACAAAAAUAAAAAUUCUGAUUUCAAAGAGUCUAAAAGCAAUCAUUAUGUUGACUUUGCUUAGCUUAGA
rnacentral:lncRNA from 10 species